rnacentral:lncRNA from 10 species
AAAAGAGGCGCCAUGAGCUUGUCACCUUCUCUAAUGGAGGAAGAGGAAUAAGGAAUAACCUUUCUCUCCAUUUUGAAGAAAGACUCCCCAUCUUUUCAAGUAUCAGUGAAGUUAAAGGACAUGGACACUGAGGACUUGACUUCGAAUUUCCAAUUCCUAGGAUCAUGUUACACCAAAUAACCAACUAAUUUAGUUAGAAUAUCAAUAAGUUUAGUCCACAAAGUUAGUUGCUUAAGUGCUGCAGCUACAUUUUUAUUUUAGGUUUUGGUCUACUAGCGUUCCAAAAUAUUCUGAAAAGAAGUUCCAGUUUGGAGAUUCCUGUGCAUGGUUUUUCUCUUGCUUAGUAAGGACUUAGUAAGAAUCGACCCAACUAAUGCCCCUCUAGAGG